rnacentral:rRNA from 1 species
AUACGCAGGGUGCGAGCGUUGUCCGGAAUUACUGGGCGUAAAGAGCUCGUAGGUGGUUUGUCGCGUCGUCUGUGAAAUUCCGGGGCUUAACUCCGGGCGUGCAGGCGAUACGGGCAUAACUUGAGUACUGUAGGGGAGACUGGAAUUCCUGGUGUAGCGGUGAAAUGCGCAGAUAUCAGGAGGAACACCGGUGGCGAAGGCGGGUCUCUGGGCAGUAACUGACGCUGAGGAGCGAAAGCAUGGGUAGCGAACAGGAUUAGAUACCCUGGUAGUCCAUGCCGUAAACGGUGGGCGCUAGGUGUAGGGGUCUUCCACGACUUCUGUGCCGUAGCUAACGCAUUAAGCGCCCCGCCUGGGGAGUACGGCCGCAAGGCUAAAACUCAAAUGAAUUGACGGGG